rnacentral:rRNA from 1 species
UACGUAGGGGGCUAGCGUUGUCCGGAAUCAUUGGGCGUAAAGCGCGUGUAGGCGGCCCGGUAAGUCCGCUGUGAAAGUCGGGGGCUCAACCCUCGGAUGCCGGUGGAUACUGUCGGGCUAGAGUGCGGAAGAGGCGAGUGGAAUUCCUGGUGUAGCGGUGAAAUGCGCAGAUAUCAGGAGGAACACCAAUUGCGAAGGCAGCUCGCUGGGACGUUACUGACGCUGGAGACGCGAAAGCGUGGGGAGCAAACAGGAU